rnacentral:tRNA from 1 species
GCCUGGGUGGCUCAGUCAGUUAAGCGUCUGACUUCGGCUUAGGUCAUGAUCUCACAGUGUGUGGGUUUGAACCCCGCAUCGGGCU